UACGGAGGGUGCAAGCGUUAUCCGGAUUCACUGGUUAAAGGGUGCGUAGGUGGAUUGGUAAGUCAGUGGUGAAAUCUCCGGGCUUAACUCGGAAACUGCCAUUGAUACUAUCAGUCUUGAAUACCGUGGAGGCCAGUAGAAUAUGUCAUGUAGCGGUGAAAUGCUUAGAUAUGACAUAGAAUACCAAUUGCGAAGGCAGCUGGCUACGCGAAUAUUGACACUCAGGCACGAAAGCGUGGGGAGUCAA
rnacentral:rRNA from 1 species